rnacentral:misc_RNA from 1 species
AAUGCUUGGAAAAUUGGGCAUGAGAUAGAGUGAACUGCAAUGGAGUGCGUGGUACAGGGGAUUAUUGAGACACAGGUUGGUUAUAUGUUGAUGAAGGGGAACCCAUUUUUUCCUAGUUUCACUUGCUGUGGAAAUUCAUAUUUUUGCCUUCAAUGGGUUUUUAAUGUAUCUGAGAAUUGUAGCAAUAUCGUGACUGAUUUGAAUUUGUUAGUUUGUAAGAAUGUGGCGAAGUUUUCAAUGAGAAAUCAAGUUGGUUAUAUGUCUUGCUUCAGGCAUGUUCAUUCUUUGUGCAUCUAUGUAUAUUCAUGCAUUUGUGUAUUCUUUUACACAUGGGCAGGUUUUGUUUGAACAAUAUAUUUCCCUCAGUUUUCUCUUUGGCUCAUUUAUUAAUUUACCAUUUUUACUCUAUUGGUUCUGCUCCCAAUUUUUUUCCGUUUUAAACUUGUGAUUAUUCUGUCAUCAUAAAGUGAGGGUUGCUGAUUUACAGUAAUGAUGUGGAUUGGAUUUGUUACAGAUAAUGAUUAUUUCCCCAAAUG